ACGGAAGGCAGCAGUGGGGAAUAUUGCACAAUGGGCGAAAGCCUGAUGCAGCGACGCCGCGUGAGUGAAGAAGUAUCCCGGUAUGUAAAGCUCUAUCAGCAGGGAAGAAAAUGACGGUACCUGACUAAGAAGCCCCGGCUAACUACGUGCCAGCAGCCGCGGUAAUACGUAGGGGGCAAGCGUUAUCCGGAUUUACUGGGUGUAAAGGGAGCGUAGACGGUUUGGCAAGUCUGAAGUGAAAUGCGGGGGCUCAACUCCUGAACUGCUUUGGAAACUGUCGAACUAGAGUGCAGGAGAGGUAAGUGGAAUUCCUAGUGUAGCGGUGAAAUGCGUAGAUAUUAGGAGGAACACCAGUGGCGAAGGCGGCUUACUGGACUGUAACUGACGUUGAGGCUCGAAAGCGUGGGGAGCAAACAGGAUUAGAUACCCUGGUA
rnacentral:rRNA from 1 species